rnacentral:rRNA from 1 species
CCUACGGGUGGCAGCAGUAGGGAAUCUUCCACAAUGGACGCAAGCCUGAUGCAGCAACGCCGCGUGAGUGAAGAAGGCUUUCGGCUCGUAAAGCUCUGUUGUUAGUGAAGAAAGAUAGAGGUAGUAACUGGCCAUUAUUUGACGGUAAUUACUUAGAAAGUCACGGCUAACUACGUGCCAGCAGCCGCGGUAAUACGUAGGUGGCAAGCGUUGUCCGGAUUUAUUGGGCGUAAAGCGAGUGCAGGCGGGUCAAUAAGUCAGAUGUGAAAGCCUUCGGCUCAACCGGAGAAUUGCAUCAGAAACUGUUGUACUUGAGUGCAGAAGAGGAGGGUGGAACUCCAUGUGUAGCGGUGGAAUGCGUAGAUAUAUGGAAGAACACCAGUGGCGAAGGCGGCUCUCUGGUCUGCAACUGACGCUGAGGCUCGAAAGCGUGGGGAGCGAACAGGAUUAGAUACCCGAGUAGUC